rnacentral:lncRNA from 1 species
UAGUGCGCGGAUCACCUCCCUUUAGGACAGAUGAGUCUCGAAUCUGCGGUGUAAAGAUACUAAGGUGAGAGUGCGGAUGAUUGUUAGAGAAUAAUUUGUAUUGAGUGUGACCAACACGACAAAUUACUUGGAUGUCUACUCACUUGUCAAUGAUCUUCUUGAUUCUACAGUGGUGUGACUGAUCCUUUGAUCUGCGAUAUGUUGGCUAUUCAC